GUCCACGCCGUAAACGAUGGGCAUUAGGUGUGGGAGGUGUCGACUCCUCCCGCGCCGUCGCUAACGCAUUAAAUGCCCCGCCUGGGGAGUACGGCCGCAAGGCUAAAACUCAAAGGAAUUGACGGGGGCCCGCACAAGCAGCGGAGCAUGUGGUUUAAUUCGACGCAACGCGAAGAACCUUACCUGGGCUUGACAUGUUCGUGACCGGUGUGGAAACACACCUUUCCUUCGGGACACGAUCACAGGUGGUGCAUGGCUGUCGU
rnacentral:rRNA from 1 species